rnacentral:rRNA from 1 species
GACGAACGCUGGCGGCGUGCUUAACACAUGCAAGUCGAGCGAUGAAGUUCCUUCGGGAAUGGAUUAGCGGCGGACGGGUGAGUAACACGUGGGUAACCUGCCUCAUAGAGGGGAAUAGCCUUCCGAAAGGAAGAUUAAUACCGCAUAAGAUUGUAGUGCCGCAUGGUACAGCAAUUAAAGGAGUAAUCCGCUAUGAGAUGGACCCGCGUCGCAUUAGCUAGUUGGUGAGGUAACGGCUCACCAAGGCGACGAUGCGUAGCCGACCUGAGAGGGUGAUCGGCCACAUUGGGACUGAGACACGGCCCAGACUCCUACGGGAGGCAGCAGUGGGGAAUAUUGCACAAUGGGGGAAACCCUGAUGCAGCAACGCCGCGUGAGUGUUGACGGUCUUCGGAUUGUAAAGCUCUGUCUUCAGGGACGAUAAUGACGGUACCUGAGGAGGAAGCCACGGCUAACUACGUGCCAGCCGCCGCGGUAA